AAGACAGAAAGUCCGUUGGAACCGUCGGCUGCUCUCUGGUCUCUGGAGAUGAGGCGGGAGGACUUGGGGACAGCUGUGGGGACACGGCCCAGAUGCUCUGGUCCCAGCAGAAGUGACUGGCGGGGACCAGGAUGCUGGAGGGUCAGCUCGAGGCCGGGUAGCCCAAGGAGGGCACCCACCCAGAAGACCCGUGCCCGGGAGCUGGGGCUGCCAUGGAGAAGACACCUGCAGCAGCCGAGGUCCCCAGGGAGGACAGCAAUGCCGGGGAGAUGCCGUCAUUACAGCAGCAGAUCACCAGCCUCCACCAAGAGCUCGGGAGACAGCAGUCGCUGUGGGCUGAUAUUCACAGAAAACUCCAGAGUCAUAUGGAUGCCUUGAGGAAGCAGAACCGGGAGCUCCGAGAAGAGCUGAGAGGCCUGCAGCGGCAGCAGUGGGAAGCCGGGAAGAAACCCGCAGCGUCCCCACACGCGGGGCGAGAAUCACACACUCUGGCAUUGGAACCUGCUUUUGGAAAAAUUUCACAUCUGUCAGCUGAUGAAGACACAACGCCCAAAUACGCUGGCCGCAAGAGUCAGAGUGCCACUCUCCUGGGACAAAGAUGGUCAUCUAACCACUUAGCUCCUCCAAAGGUGACCCUUCGUGCUUAUCGUCUGUAAAGAGCAGCAGAGCUUCUGUACCCAAACACACACAUCCCAUCAGCUCCUCACCACACAGUUUCACCUCCCUGGGGGAGCAUGGUGCUCCCUGGAGUCCUGCGUUUUUCCAAGGACAUGGGUGCAUGCCUUUCAAACAAGAUCCUAAACCACAGCACUUCCUGCUGUAGGGCAGAUUCCAAGUCCUGCCAGCUGCUUCCCUCUGAGCUCACUCACGGCAGCAAAUGUCUGGCUGGGGCCGAGUGGACUCGGGGGCUUUGUUUCCGUGGGUGCCACCCACGGAGGUGAUAUGUGUGGCGCUCUCGCCACAUGCCAUGGCCCGUGCGUCUGGGGGCUCGCAGCCUCCCACGAUCCCUGCUUCUGCACUGCGGUCUUGCACCUGCUGCUUGUCAGCGUGGACUCCUCUGAACAGGGGCUGUGCCGCUUGCUUGGGGGCCACAGUGCAGGAUGCUAUUUUGUCUCCAACACAUUUUUCCUUGUUAAAAUUAGCUCCUCUUUAGAACCUUCUGCUGGCCAGUGUGUCUCUUCCCAUCCCAGCUUUGUGUCACCCUCACACUCGGGAGGCAAAUCUCGUGAGUCCUGAGCCAGCAACUGAUACUGGGUCGAUGUGGAUGGAGAAGACUGCCCCCCCAACUCCUGAAGAUGAUUUAUCCCCUCGCUUCUUUCCCAAAGCAACUGCUGAGCAGAUAACACUUUAUUCCCUGAAGGAAGAUCAGAAAUCUACUCCAAGCAUUUGUCACAAGUAGGAAAAUAGUCCUUUCAGAUCCUAUGAGUACAAAACAUCGAAAGUCCCAGGACGUACUGCAUAGGUCCAGCCUCCUGUGAGACACGGACUUCUCUCACGCUUCUGCAUUGACCUGAGUUAAUCACACGCGUGCUGGACAAUGUACGAGUAAAUAGAUAACUGAAUGGGUGGCUUAUCCACGCCUCCAAACCCUGAAUUUUUAAGCAGCAGAAAAGGUAGAACAUUAUUUUCAUUAUGCAUUUUUGAAUUGAGUUUCAAGUACUUUAUUUCACUGUUGACUAUUCUACAACGUCAGCCAUACCGUCCCUGAAUUCCUCAAGAGCGUGGCUGUAAAAUGGGGAAUGAGAGCGUGGAUGCCUCAUGUGUCCUUCUGUAGGAAGCGGGGGUAGAAUCCUCUAGAUUCUGUGGCAGCUGGUGUGAUGUGUUGCUCAACAUUUUAAAAUAAUAUGAUGGUUAUUAAUGCAACCACAUUUAUUUUCAGCCAAUGAGUUUAAAGACAGAAAGAAUUAACUCGGGGAAAACACCACCACAGGAAGAUAGAGAGAAAAGUCCUCCCGGGAGACGUCAAGACAGAAGUCCAGCACCCACUGGAAGGCCGACUCCCGGUGCAGAAAGACGGGGGGUGUCUGAAGACGGAAAGGUGACCUCGGAAACCUGGGUCACUCUACACUGGCAGCAUGGAAAAUUCAGAUUCAGAUGAAGUUCCACUUAGGUCUCAUAAGAGUACUCAAUUUGUUAUUCGAAAUAGACCUAGUAAUUUAUUAACCUAAUUAUGUUUCUAUAGAUAAAACUUUGAAUUUCUGCAGACAUGUCUUUAAUGCUAUAAAAGCAAAUAAAUUGAAUUGGGUUUUAAAAAGCAAACAACUUGAAUUGGGUUUUAAAAAUCAAUUACUUUCCCGAGCUCCGUAAUUGGUAUAUUUCUGCAGAGUCUUUAAAAGAAUUGAUCUACCUUGUAGUGCUGAGCUCAGGGCUGUUGGGUGAGCCCUGGGGUCUUGCUGGAAAUUGUGGAUGGCUGAAGAUGGCUUCGUGCUCCCAGCCUUUGGGCUCGAGGCAUUGCCGGCUGCAGGGACCUUGUGACAAGGGGGGCCUCUGACUGUCUUUGCCCCAGAUUAUGCAUCCAUCUUCCCGAAGUCCGCAAAACUCCGGUGGCAGAAAAUCACCAGUGCAGGCUUCCCAGGCCACCACGCUGCAGGAGCAGACGGCAGCAGCCAGAGGAGCUGACAGAAGCUCAUCAGUCUUAGGGAGUUCUGAAGGCGGAUUUCUCAGCCGCGUUCAAGCUGACGAGUUCGCCAGUUCUGCCCCAGACAGUGCAGAGCGGCAGAAAAAUUCUACCCCAAUGGCUCCAAAGAAAUCGUGUUUCCCGACGGGACGGUGGAACAUCUCAAGGAUGGACAGGAAGAGACCUUAUUUCCUGAUGGGACAAUCGUAAGGGUGGAAAGGAACGGCGACAAAACCAUUGUGCUCAGCAACGGGCAGAAAGAAAUCCACACAGCCCGGUUCAAGAGGAGGGAGUACCCGGAUGGCACCGUCAAGACUGUGUAUUGCAGCGGCUGUCAGGAAACCAAGUAUGCCUCCGGGAGGGUUAAGAUCAAAGAUGAAGCUGGAAAUGUCGUCCUGGACGAGAAGCAGAUGAGCCCUCAACACGCAGCAUCACAUGGGAAAUGCCAAUUGCAGAUUUUUGCUAAAACAGACAAAAACUAAUAACAUAUUAGCUGCCCUAAAUGAUCUUGGAGAGCCACCAAAACUUUAGGACUACCCAAGUCAUCUAGAAAUUGCAAAGGAAAAGACAUUCUCUCCCCUAUUUAGGAAACUUGGUUAGAGCAGCACACGUCGGAGAACAGGAGGCUCACAAAAGAACGAUUUUCAGUGCCCCCAGCAAGGCUGCACCCUCCUUGAUCAUCACAGGGGCCAUUUCUGCCUUGUGAUGGACCCAGGAGGUCUCUGCAGAGCAAGUGCCGUUGGACCAGCUGAUUCACAAAGUGCUGAGCCCCUCUUCCCCGUGUGGCCCACCCCAGGCACGGCUCAUUCCUCCAGAAUUAUAGAAGCUCAGCCUGGCCUGCUCCCCUCUGGUCACCGACACCCCUGUCCUCGCUGGGACAAGAGGGAGACAAUUCUAGUCACUACAAGGACACCCAAGGGGUGUCUGAGUCAGGGCUCCAAUAGUGCAGUUAUCGUGGCCUCUCGCAGCCCGGGGAGCACGUCGCCUCUUGAAACUCGAGAUUUCUUAAAUCCCAAUAUAAAAAUGAUAACCAGUUACUUACUUCUUUUGUUGUUUUGCAGGCCACCUAGAAAUACAAAAUGCCAAUUCACCUAAUUUUUAUACUGAAAUGUAGAUGCCCCCAACAUGAUUUUGGAAAGAUAUAAUUUCUUGAAAAUCUUAUCAGAAGAUGCAUAGUUAAUUUUUUUCCAUUAUGUACUCAUGUUUUUAUGAAAUACAAUACCAUAUUUUAGGGCCAGGGAUUAUUUUAACCUUAAAAUUGUGCAUGCAUCAUUGUAGCCCUCAAUAUUUGGUAAUGCUAUUUAAAGUGACUCAAGAAGCAUGUGCUAUCUGGCUUUGAAGGAAAAAAAAAGAAUUCUGCAAUUACAGUGGAUGGAGGCCUUUUCUUUUCAGAUGAAUGCUAAAGCAAUGCAAGGCUGUUUGUCAGGCACAACUGGCAAAACAAAUCCAUUAUUAAAAAGCUACUUUGCAUUUGGCUGAAAGAA
ensembl:lncRNA TCP10L3 t-complex 10 like 3 (pseudogene)